AUGAAACAAAAUAAAUCUUUUACAUAAUUUAUAAUAUUAUGCCAAGGAUGGUGUAUGAAUAUCUCUUGUAAUGACCUUGAAUGCAUAUCUCCUCUAAUGACCUUGAAUGUAUAUCUCCUUAAAUAGUUCAAAAUUGCAAUUACCAGAUCUUAAAAUUGUUUCAUCCUAAAACCUUAGAGGGAAACAUUUGGUCAUUCAUUCUAAUCUCUAAGUCCUUAGGCGAUUAAAAUGAAACCAAGCCUUUUGAAAUAACAAGAUAUAACCGGUAACCAUAGGGUAUCCCUAGUCCUAGGUGAUAUCUACUACAGUUUUACUGUGCAAAAACCUUAACAAUUGCAAUCUCGCAAAUUGUUAACCAUAUAACAAUCCUUAUUUUUUUGAUAAUGAAAGCAUUACAAACAUUGCACAAUGAAAUUGACAAACAAACAUAAUAUUAAGGAAAUUAUCAAUUCAUAGUCAUUACACGAUCAAUUCAUGGUCAUCCCUUGACAUUGGGGGGGUGUAGCCACUCAUAUUAUUCAAAUAAGAUACAAUAUAUAAUUUAGACAUUACAAGAAUAAAAGAAUCUCGUUGAUCUUCAAUCGUAUCCUCUCUUGAAGAACCUCCGUUCUCCGCAAAUCUUGAUCGUUCAAAUCUCAAUUGUACCAAUUCUUUAUCGUGUAAAAAGUCCCUGUUCUCAGUCUCCAAAAGCCCCCUAAAUAGUUACUAAUCAAAUAUCUGAUGUAGCAAAUGUCCAUAAUACCCUUCGGGAUCAGCAAUGCCAAAACACAGGAAAAAAUAGAAGAUGCGGUGUCCAAGCAAACAUUGGCCGUGUCAGGCAACACGGUCGACCGUGUUGGCUUAUUGACACCCACUCUCUAACACGCCCCUUCCAGGGUUGCUGACAUGGGUCGUGUCAUCUGGCACGGGCACCCGUGUCACCUCCCUGUUUUAGCAUCUCGCCUUCCUUCCCCUGACAUGGGUCGUGUCAAGGCUACUGUACCUUCAACAUUCUUCUUCUGACGAGCCUGGAACACCCAAUUCCCUUGGCGAGUCUUUGAGUAUUCUUGGUUACACCUGAAACCAAUCAAACUACCACAAGGAGACAUAAAAUGGAGUACAUUGACAAAAACCAAAGAUAAUAAUCAAAAUCGGAUGGAAAUGCAAACAUCUAAUUUACUAAACAAAAUAACAUAAAUAGGUAAAAUAAUGUGUUACCAACUUCGUGAAUUUAUGCCGAAUGAGUCUAAGAAAACAAGUAAAAUUGGAGACUGAUCACAACCCCAAACUUAUCUUAUUUCUUGUCCUCAAGUGAUGCUCAGGACAGCAGGAUGGUCACCCCCAAAUUCUUCCAAUUCACUUACCGCAAUAUUUAUCCGAGCAAGGUAGUGUUUUAUUUUACUUCUCACAUAAGGUUUCAACAACACUUAUCCGAGCAAGGUAAGGUAGUGUUUAGGCUUACGGUUAUUUACAGUGGUUUCUAACAAACAAAAAGGGGAUAUGGCUCGGAUUGGUUAAACGAAGGGUAAUAAUGACGGGUUGGCUGGAAAGGCUCGGGGUUAAAACAAAAAAAAUUGCCUCAGUGUGUACAUGUGUGUUAUGAAAUUCCGAUAUAUACUUACACAAACUCAGAGUGACAGAGACAUACCUAAAAAUCUCUCAUGAAGAUAAGUGUUUGGCUUUUUGUGAUUCUCACCAUGUUUGGUAUAGGAUACAGGUUUCCAAGAUACCUCUCAGUGUGAUGUAGCUUCGUCUUUGCUUCGGGUACAGAGUAAUCUUGUGUAGUUCAAUGACAUAAAAUCACGCUUGAUUAUUCAGUUCAGCAACAUCAACUUUCGAGGGUUUCCAGAAGAGCGAGUAAAGGGCAUGUCUUUCAUCCAAUCGCUCCAAGCUUCAUCAUUCAUCCGACACGACUAUCCUCUACCUGUAACAUACAAAAUACCACACAAAUAAUUAAUUAAACAAAAAUAAUAUAAUGCUGAAAAUAAUAAGAACAAAUAAUAAACCCCCUCACACACUUGAACCAAACAUUGUCCGCCAUGUUUAAUGCAAGAUAGAGGGGGGACUCACAAAACCUCACUGCGGUGGGGGAAAUUGCAACAUUAGUCGUUGCAUCAUCGCAUGCAUCUCAUCCAUAACAGUCCCUUGACGAGCUCGAUAUAUUCCUUAGCGUGUUUGCUUCGCUCAGAGGUCACCAAUCUCAGUCUGUACCCACGAUCGUUGGUCCGGUGUCACAGAUAACGAUCAGACACCUGUAUGCGUGGUGUCCUCAUGCAGAGGGAUAAACUGCUCAUGCUCCUACACAUCUUCCUCUUGUUGGUCACCUGCAAGAAACGGGUCAGCAUUAUGCUCAUCCAUAUCAUCUUGGACUACACUCUCAUAUAGCCAAUUAGCAGUGUUGACAAUGUUUAUCCUCGCAGGGUCAGGAAGUGCCAUGAUAAACUGGCUAGAACUCAUCAAAGCAUAAUAAUCAGAAAUUUGGGAUAUCAUACCUUGUUGACAAGUGCGUUCAUGUCCAGCUUAUUCUUACCUGCAACUGAUGUCUCAUUUAGUGCAGCAGGGUCAUAAUCGAAAUGGUGGGCAAUCUGUGUGAUUAUUCCCCCAAUGGAAAUUCCCCCAUGAGUCGUAGUGCCCACUCUACUGAGGUAGUCCGCUGUAAAUGCUGCAACCCUCACAUCAACUCUAUUUUCCAUGGCAAACAGAAAGAAAAGCUCCCUCUGGGUAGCCACACCUGUACUAUCACCCCUACCGAAAAGUGUGAAAGCCAGUACCUUUUGAGCAUACCUGAAAUAGGGGUUCUGAAUGCCAGAUGCUUUAGCCCCCUUUGCUACAUAAUCGGUUCGCCCCGCGAUGGCCAACCAAAACUUUUUAGCAUCAAAGCUAUUUGGAACGACUCCGGGGCCAUACAAGAGUAAGCGGAGGAUCUCACCCAGCUUAUCAACUGUUAACUCGUUGUCAACAUUAUAUAACCUGAAAUGCAUAGUCCCACCAUAGUACAUUGUGGUACCUGUCCAUCCUUUCUUUAGCUUCAACUCAAUAGUUCUAAAAAAUUAUAAAGUAAUACACUCAUAUGUAAGCGCCUCACAGUGCAUAAAUUCAAGCAUGCCUAGCACAUGAAACAUCCUAUCCAAUUCCUCAGACAAACCCAUUUGAGAUAAAGUGUCAGAGCAUAAAUACCUCGUUGGUGUUAUCUUACGCUUGACGUGAGAUGAGUAACACCUUUCGUGCUCCGGGAUGUCGAAAAUUAUGUCCUGAGAAUUUGGAUGACGGAUGGUCCUUUUUCGAGGCCUUGACGGCUCAACCUCCAUUUGCUUUCCCUUAGCAAUUCUAUUCGGAGACAUGAUUGGUUCCUGCAAAAAUUUAUGAACAAAAAUAAAGUAUAGAAUAGGGAGAAAAGAUUAUUGUGUAUAUGUAGAGGACGAAGAAUGGAGCAACUUUCGUGAAGUGAGUCGGAGAUUUGGACGACGUAUGGUGGUAAAGAAAUGAGCUAUGGUAGAGGAGGUUAUGGAGAAAAAUGGAAAGUGAAUGGAGAAAGAAGGAAGGUUUAGUAAAAAUGGGAGAUAGAAUAGGUAAAAAUCUGAUUAAAGGGAUUGAAUGUGAGUAAAAAGGGUUUUAAUUGGUGAAAAAUCCAAGUGGGGGCCACAAAUAUCAAAAUUUGAAUUUCAAAAAUUCCUCACCAUGCUGCCUGACACGGGAGGCCGUGUUAGGAUGCUGUAAAACCCAUUCAAGUACAGUAGAGUUGACAUGGGCCGUGACAGCUGACACGGGCGACCAUGUCAGCCUAUUGGAAAAACUCUUGGUCCUUGGGUGCCUUGCCUGACACAGACCGUGUCAGGUGACACGGGCACCCGUGUCAGGGCCUUGUUUUCAGCCAAAAAUAUCAUUUUUUCAUCUGCUUCUCCCCGCUCUUCUAGCAAAAUGCCUUCUAUAGGGUAGGCUCAAACCUCUCCUUCCAUCCUACACGAUUUAUUUUGCGAACCUACAAACAAACAAAAUUUGAACCACACCAAAACAACUUAAAUUGUUAGAAUUAAACAGUGUGGGUUGCCUCCCAUGAAGUGCUGCAUAUAACAUCGCAUGGCUCGACGGUCGUCCCUCUUAUCCUCUGAGAUGAACAUUUUCAAUCAAGCCAUUCUCCUGCCCUUUGUAGUAGUGUUUCAAUCUUUGUCUGUUCACCUUAAAUGUACCCCGGUUACUUGGAUUUUUAAGUUCAAUAGGUUACUGGGGAAAUACUCUGUGAACCAAUAACGGACCUGACCACCUAGAUUUCAACUUUCCGGAAAAGAGUUUUAACCUGGAAUUAAACAAGAGUAGCAACUACCUCUCCAUAAAAUCCUUUCUCUGUAGCUUCUGAUCAUGCCAUUUUUUUGUCUUCUCCUUAUAGAGUUUGGCAUUCUCAUAGGCUUGAUUCCUAUACUCUUCUAGCUCAUGGAGUUGAAGAAUUCGAAAUUCACCAGCUUUUUCAAGAUCAUAAUUUAAGAAUUUGGAAACCCAAAACGUUUUGUGCUCCAACUCUAGUGGCAAGUGACAAGCUUUACCGUAAAAUAACUGAUAGGGGGACAUACUUAUAGGCAUUUUCAAUUCCGUUAUGUACACCCAUAGUGCAUCUUCUAACUUCACUGCCCAGUCUUUUCGAGAUGCACAAACAAUCUUUUCCAGUAUUUGCUUUAUCUUUCUGUUGGACACUUUGACCCGACCACUCGUUUGAGGGUGAUAUGGAGUGACGAUCUUGUGUUUAACAUUAUAUUUCUUCAGUAGAUUCUCCUUAAAUUUGUUUAAAAAAUGAGUACCUUUAUCACUGAUAAGUGCUCUCGGCACUCCAAAUCUCGAAAAAAUAUUAUUCUUCAGAAAAGUCACAACCACUUUAGAAUCAUUGGUGGGAAAUGCCAUCGCUGCCACCCACUUUGACAUGUAGUCCACUACUACCAAGAUGUAAUUAUUUCCAAAUGAGGGUGGAAACGGUCCCAUGAAGUCUAUUCCCCAUACCUUAAACAAUCUAACUUCCAUCAUAGCGUUCUGCGGCAUUUGAUUUCUCUUAGAAAUAUUUCCUAUUCUUUGACAUUUGUCGCACUCAUUGACUAUGUCUUUGGCAUCUUUGAAUAGUGUGGGCCAAUAUAGACUCGACCAAAGGACUUUAGCUGCUAUUCUAUCACCACUGAAGUGUCCUCCAUAAUCUGAGUCAUGACAAGCUCUAAGCACAUCCCUUUGUUCCUCCUCUGGGACGCAUCUUCUGAUUAGCCCAUCUACUCCUCUCUUGUAUAGGAAUGAGUCAUCCCACAAGUAGAACCUACAAUCAUGAACAAACUUUUCCUUCUUGUUAGAAUCAAAAUCAUUAGGGAUUACACCACCUACCAAAUGAUUCUCAUAGUCUGCGAACCAUGGGAUACCGAUAACAUCUAGGAUGUGUUCAUCAGCAAACUCAUCCUUUAUUGGUCUCUUGUCUUUUGUUUCUUCAAUUGGUGACAUUCGGGACAACUGAUAGGCUUCAGUGUUUUCACAUCCCCUUUUGUCCCUAAUCUCCACAUCAAAUUCUUGGAGGAGUAAGAUCCACAUUAGAAGCCUUGGCUUAGAAUCUUCUUUAGCAAAUAAUUAUUUCAAAGCAGCAUGGUCAGUAUAAACGACAACAUUUGAUCCUAACAGGUAUUGCCGAAAUUUGUCAAAUGCAUACACCACAACCAAUAACCCCUUCUUAGUAGUUGCAUAGUUCAUCUGUAUAGGGUUUAGCACAUGACUAGCAUAAUAAAUUACAUGUAGCAACUUCUCUCUCCGUUGACCUAGAACUUCCCCUACAACAUUAUUGAAGGAGAAUUACCAUCCAAGGCGCAGCGGAAUAUAAAAAUUUCUCCUUUAAUGAUCCUUACGAAUGAGCAUGAUCAGUGAUAGAAUCGUUACCUCUUGUGGAGAUUCAAACCUUUGGUGCAAAUCAAUCAACAUACAUACAUACAUAAUGAAACAGUUAUGGCCCCUAGCGCAAUUGUUCUCCCAAGCCAAUGAGAGAACCUAAGUUAACCUACAACGAUCUAAGCUUCUCCAAGCAAGAUCUUCAAGGUUGUACUCCUUUGGCAUUGACUUCUUUGCUUUCUCUUCAUAUCAUUAAAUUACAUAAAAGAAACUCGUUUUACAUACGAGGGAGUGAGAUGAGAAAAGAAGUUACAUUUGGGAGAUUAAGAGAGAGGCACGACACGCAGGUCGUAUUUUAAAACCCAAAACAAAAUAAAGAAAGACUAAGGCCAUAACCGAUCACCACAAGACAAUAAUAAACACUUUAUUAUUAUUAUUAUUAAUUCCUUUAAUUAAUUAAAAUUAAAUCUCGACGACCGAUCACCAUAUUUUAAUGAACAAUUCAUUUAAAAUCAAUGUCGCUUUUCGCAUCAACACUUGAUACUUUUAAAGCACUGAGUUAGCCGUACGGGUGAAUUUUGCCCUGCGUUAACCGGUUAACCAUAUGCGUUAACCGAUUAACACUGUUUCAAAACUGUUAGAAAAUUCUUUUCUGCCUUGCGUUAACCGGUUAACCAAAUGCGUUAACCGGUUAACACUGUUUGAAAAACUCAGAAAAUUGAAUUUCGUCUUGCGUUAACCGGUUAACCAAAAGCGUUAUCCGGUUAACACUAUUUGAAAACCUCAAAAAAUUUAUUUUGUAUUUUGUUAACCGGUUAACCAUACGCGUUAACUGGUUAACACUGUUCCAAAAAGUGUUUAGAAAGCACAACUCUUGUGUAGUCAAACCCCAAUCGCAUAACUCUCUGACAACACAACCCUUGUGCCGUCACUAACCCUGAUGCACCAUUUUCAGACCGUAAAACACAUCUCCAUUGUUAAUUCAGUAUGAUUGAUCAACACGUCAUUGCUUCACCAUACUAAUGUCGGAUCAAGAAGCAAGUGACCAUUGAUCGCUCAAAGGAAAACAAUCAUUGAGUGUUUGAAUGAACGAAACGAGAACAUUAUAUCAUAUAUAAUGUAUUUUGCAUCAAGAUUACAUAUAUCAUAUAUAUGUAACUUGAUCGAUCUCAAUUUAAUCUUUGAUUCAUUCUGUCUUUAAUCAUAUUAUUACAGAACAAAAACAGUUAUUAGAUUCAUGGUUUCGUAAGUGGCUCUGAUACCACUGAAGGAGAAUUGCCAUCCAAGGCGCAGCGGAAUAUAAAAAUUUCUCCUUUAAUGAUCCUUACGAAUGAGCAUGAUCAGUGAUAGAAUCGUUACCUCUUGUGGCGAUUCAAACCUUUGGUGCAGAUNACAGAUCCACGGGGCGAUCACGAACGUUGAACGAUGACAACGUCUCUACUCAGUCCACACGAACGGAUUCCUUCAAUCGCAGUGCUAGCUGUUUGUGAGUGAAGGCUUUGAGUGAGAGAGAGAGAUACGAAAUUCCAACUCUUCAGCUGUGUUGUCUGCAGUGUGAAUGCUUCUACCCAAGGGGUUCUAUUUAUAGAACCACUUGUGUGGGCUUCAAGCCAAAAAGCCCACUUAAGUGCAUUUUGGCCCAUAUCUCAGAAUAUGCCAAAAUCACUUAAGUAUUUGGUACUUUACCAUAUUUCGUAUUCUUCUUAAGUACACCGUACCUUACGAUGUUCCUUAAUUAUGUCACUUGGUGGAGGUCAUGUUGGGAUCAAUAAUGUCACACAAGUAAGUUGUGGUUAGACAUUACUUUUUCCAAUAUAGACCUUAGAAGCCAAGGACCUUACUUUACCAAACCCAUCUUGGCCUAUUCAUAGGAUGUAGUGCGAAAGUCGUUCAAGUGUAAGAUUUGAUACGAUUGUUACGCGAUACUACACUCAUAAGAGUCUGUCUUGAGAAUAUUUUCGGAAUACGAGUAGUCGUUUCUCCAAUAAAAUCCGAAAGAUGGGAUGAUGACUAUGGGAACCUCUUGUAGAACAUGUUUGGCAGGUUUAAACCCUAGUACACUCCCUUUUGGGUGGUUCUUAACCUAACUCCAUGCUCGUGACUUGCAACAUAAGCCCUUGCUUCAUGUUUGAUUUCCGUUCAGGUAUCCUUAAUAUCAAUGAAACUUGGGUGUUGAUAAGGUGUAAACCAUAAUCCACCAAAAAUGGAUGGUUGAUAUUAAGGAUAACAUGAUCCAUCCCAUGACCUUUGUUUGGUGUGCUUUGCUUGAUCCUCUUAAGCACGCAUUAAUCUUCAUCCAUAUUAUGCAAUCUCCUGAUUGGAGCCAACCAUUCGAGAUUAUGUGUGAUGCAAGUGACUAUGUUGUAGGCAUUGACUUGGGACAACGUAAAGAUAAUAAACUACAUGUCCUAUACUAUGCUAGAAGAACCUUAGACGCUCCUCAAAUGAGUUAUGCAACUACUGAGAAAGAACUUUUAGCUGUAGUGUUUGCAAUCGAUAAAUCCCAUUCUUAUUUAGAAGGAGCCAUAAUCAUCAUCUACACAUACCAAAUUGCUAUAAGAUAUUUAUUAAGAAAGAAGGAUGCAAAACCAAGAUUACUUUGGUGGAUCUUAUUUUUAAGAGAAUUCCAUUUGGAAAUUUGAGACAAGAAGGGAACCGAAAACGUGGUACAACAAACGUGAGGGAUGCUAAUUGCUACCCCUUGUGCAAUCGACUUCCAAACCCUGAUUUGGUUGCGACGACCAUAAUCAUUGUCAUUAUUUUAGGAGUUUUAUCGAUAUUUUCCCUUUCCCUAUUUUGGAAUAAAUAAAGUCCGGUGGAGACUCUGUUUAGUCCAUCCCGCGAGUAUGCGAUUGCGCUUCGUGAGCAUCAUGCUCUCAUUUUUCAAGGUGUUACAGAUUGUGACUCUACUGGGGACCGGUUCCCUAAGUAAGUCAAUCCUAGUUCGGUUUGUUGUGUGGUUAUGUUUGUUUACUUGUGUGGCUUUUCUUUAUCUUUUACUCUUGUCAUCUCUAUUGUUGUAUUGAUAUAAUAUAUUGUAUGGUUCCAGUAUGUUAUGGUAUUGGUUUGAUUCCUUGAUUGUAAACUUUAUGGGAAAAACUCUCUACCCGAGUCUAGAGUGAAAUCAUAAUAUAGGAUGAGGUUGAGUAGUGUGGGUCCCCGAGUUGUAGUUUUCGUAAGGGUCAAUAGGAGAACCUCACUUAGAGAAGGUCUUUUGAAAAUGUUGUCGCCCAACAUGUAGUUACCGUCAAUUUUGAUGUUUUCAUGAGGUCCAUGGCUCUAAGUACCUUUGUAGAACCUUUAACCCUUUCACCAACUAAGAUUAACGGUCGUGUAGUAUGGGUCCCCGAGAUGUAGUUCUUGAAAAGGUAGGUACGAAGACCUCGCUAAGAACAUAUUCCCUUGAAGGAGUUGAUAGUCAACAUGUAGUUGCCGUAAGCAGAAAAUAUUCUUGUAAAUCUAUGACUCAGAGCUUCCUUUUACAAACCUUAGAUCAAACCUAGUGAGAACCUUAUCGUGGAAAGUAAUCAGAUUCAUAUGUUACCUCGUACCUUUGAACCCAUGUACAAAAAAAAAAGCAUGGUAUCGCAUUACAUCCAUUCACAUACCUUUAUAUUUGCAUUCAUUAGCAUGCAUUUCAUAUCAUAAAAAAAAACUCAUCCAUCCUCUGUCUAUAACCCGUAUCAGACUUGAAGCAGUUCUUGGAAGAUCAUCUACCCUGGAUAACAAAAAUAGUUUGCAUCAAGAAAAGAUGUUGAUUUGAUGAAAAACCAGUUGAACCAACUUGUGGAGGCUAUGAUAGCUUUGGAAAAGAGAGAGUAUAAUAUUCAACACACUUCCGUCACUGAGAAUGUCAUUCAGCUUCUAGUAAAUAAUCCUCCUCUUGUACGGAUCCCAGUUGAGGCCCCUACUAUUUAAGACAUUCUCAUUGUCCGAGAUGGACAUUCUUCACCUCAUGACAUUGUUGAGUAUGAUAGCUUUGAAUUCUCCGCGCCAAAUUCCCAAGGGGAAUUCCCGGUGAGGAAAAUCAAAGACCCUAUAGUUAUUAAGAUUGCUAAAAGAUCACCGCGUGUUGGAAGAAAGACUCAAAGUUAUAGAGGGGCACAAUGCUUUUGAUCUAGAUGCUUCAAACAUGUGUUUAGUGCUUAGCCUGGUUAUACCCACAAAAUUUAAAGUACCAUAUUUUCAGAAGUACAAAGGGAAUAACACCCAAAGCCCCAUUUGGUGAUGUUCUGUCGAAAAAUGACCUUCUAUGCCCUAGGUGACAAGCUAAUAACUCACUAUUUUCAAGAUAGUUUGAGUGGGACAUCAUUGAGUUGGUACAUGGAAUUAGAAAGAAGUCAUAUUCAGUCAUGGUCAUACCUUUCUAACUCCUCUUUAAAGUAGUACCAAUAAAAUUUGGACAUGGAUCCCAGUUGUAUACAAUUGCAACAAUUAUCUCAAAAAAGCAACAAAUCUUGCAAAGGAUAUGCCCAAAGAUGGAGAGAUUUGGCAGCUCGCGUUCAACCACCACUCUUAGAGAAAGAGCUAGGUGGCUUGUUUAUCAAUACCCUAUUGGGUCCAUAUUUCAAAAGGAUGGUAGUAAGUGCUUCAUUAGGUUUCUCUGACCUAGUGAAAGUUGAAGAACGCAUCAAGAGUGGCCUCAAAAAUGGAAGAAUCCAAGGCGCCUCGAGUGGCCAUACUAGCGAGAGUCAAUCCCUUGUCAGUUCCCAAUAGGAAAAGGAAGAAGUUAAUGCAAUAUGGGAAAUUUACCAAGCUCCACAAACUCAAUCUCUGGUGCCAUAUUAUCAGCAUCCAUAUGCAAUGGUUGUUCAAUGCCAGUGUCAUACCUCAAAAAAUGAGAACACGACACUCGUGGAGUGCAAUAAGACGCUCGCGUGAUGGACUGAACAGAGUCACCACCAAACUUUAUUUAUUCCUAAAACGGGAAAGGGGAAAUAUCAAUAAAACUCAUAAAAGAAAGGAUAAGAAAUGGUCAUCACAACCAAUAUUUGGGUUCGAGAGUCAGUUAUGCAAGGGGAAGGUAUCAGCACCCUUCAUGUCCGUUAUACUCAACAGGAACCAUUUAGUUAGUUUCUAUUUGAAUGUUAGCUUAAGUUAGUUGUAAGACCCAAAUUUUGACCCUAAGAUCCCUCAUGUUAUCUCAUCAUAUGAAUUAGCAUUGGGAUCACACCUUGGCAUCCUCCUUACCCCUCAUUCAUUGGGUUUGCAUUGGGAGAUAUCACCAAGCACAUUUGAUUUUAUCAUACUUUGUUUUUCAUUAUUUACUAACCAAAAUUCCAAAAAUAUGUCAAUGUAUAGUUUCUUACUUUUGUAGGUAGUGUGUGUGUCCACCCAUGCUCCAUCAAGCUCAUAUCUAGGGUUUACGAACCUCAAUGCAAGGAUAGCAAUUAAAAGUUGGUUCACAUUGACUCUAGACAUUAUAUAUGGAUCCCCAUGGUCUCCACAUAUCAUUUUGAUCAAGAAUUCAUCAAGAGUUUGACGUUUUUUGCCUUGGAAGCCCUAAUUCAUCUAGGUAUCUUGUGUGACUUCCUUAGCAAGUUUCUUUAUAAUUUGAUCAAACAUUUCAAGGUAUACUUAAUAUCACUUCAUCUUACACAUAUAUGAUCCUCCAUGAGUCCCAAAAAUCAAGAGAAUGUCAAGUUAGUAAGAUGGUUCAUGGGGGUUGAUCAAAGAAAGUCAACUAGUCAAAAUUGGGGUUCCCUAGACCUAAUCUCUACAAAUUUUGUCAUAUGAAAAUGAUUCCAAGAUAAACUUUACUCCUUAUUACAUUAAAAACAACUUUAAUGUUGAAGUAAAAAUCUAGUUUUGCUUUGAAAGCCAUAUUUUAUGGUGAAAGAUUAUAGGUCAUUUUGUCUGAACCCUAGUUAGGAGGUCAACUUCCAAGGACCAUAUCUUGCUCAAUUGUUAUGGUAUGAAAGCCAUUAAAGUUCAAUGAUUAUAUUAUUUAUGUCCUAUUCAACUUUAAUGUUUGUAAGAAGUUGAAAAUCAACUUUAAAAUUCAUGUGCCAAUAGGAAACAUUAUAGGUCAUUUUGGGCCAUUACCAUUGAACAGGUGAUUUUCCUCAACUUCUAAAAUGCAUAACUCCUUCAUGCCAAAUCCAAAUGAGGUCAAAUAUGUGAAACAAUUGAAUAGGUUUUAAAUAUCUACAACUUUUAUGAAGGAACUUUAUCCAUUUGAAUCCCAUAGGAAAAGUUAUUCAAGGAGGAAGAAGUGAACAUUUGACUUGGUACAUAGAAAAAUUUCAAAUAUGUUUGAUUUUCCAAACUUCCACCUCAAAAUUCGUCAUGAUCCAAGCUUCAAAUUGAAAAGUGUUAAACAUGAAAGUUGUUCCCCAUGAUCUCACCUUUCCAAAAAGAUCAAGAUAACCUCAUUUGGCCAAGAAAUGAAGGACUUGUGAAUAGGUUCUUUUCAAAGGUCCAAUUGGAUGGAUUUCACCUCCAUAUUUCAAAUUCAAAUGCAUGGCCAUAUGACAUGAUUUCAGCAUUGUACAUAAGCAUUUUUGGACCUGAAUACAUCACUUGAUGGGCCUAUCACACGCCCAUGCAAGCAUGCAAUGAAAAUUGCUAAAUUUGGCAAAUUUUGGAAGUUUGUUGAAAAGAAUCACAUUAGUUAUAAAUACAACCCCCAUGGCUCAGAAUUGAGGACCUUAUGCCCAAGAUUUGAACCUGCAUAAGAUUUGAAUCUUUUUAUAUACUUAGAAUUGGAGAAAAUUGAGGCCGAAUUCGAGCUCCUGAGCAUUUUUUCUUUAAAUCCAUGUCUUUGUUUUUCAUUUAAGUGGUGGUUGAUGGUGGACCAGUCCGGUGAUGUCCACCGGAAAAGACAACCGGAGCCCUAGCUCCGGUGGUGUGGUGACUUGCUCCUAUCCAUCAGAUCUUGAGCGUCCAAUGUGAUUACCAAAUGUGCCACGCGUUUGACUCAAGUAUUAGUGAAACGCGCACUUCUCGCCAUCAGAUAUGCCACCUCAAUUAAUGAGGGAGAUCUGAUGACCCUCGUUUUUUAGAAUUUCCUUUUAAUUCUUGAAUUUGUGUUUAAUUGCUUCAUUUUGUUUAAUUCAUAAUAAUUUCAUUUUUAGUCCAAAAAAUAUGGGACUUUCACCAAAAAUCGUUAAAUAUUUUUUCUCUUUCAUUUUAUGAAUUAAAAUUAUUUUUUAGAUUAAUUUUGAUAUUUUUCAUGAAUUAAACUUUUUUGUGCAUAUUUUUAAUUAUUUAAAAAUACUUCUGACUUUUCAAAAAUUAUGAAAUUUUUUGUCUAAGGUCUUUUGACCUUGUUUGACCUAAGAUAAAUAUCUUGACCAUUUAUUUGGUUUUUUGAAGAGAUUUUAGGUUUUGACCAAAUUAAAUUGAAUUUUCAUUUGAUUUUUAAUUAAUUAAUUGUGUGAAAAUUAUGUUCAGCCAUUUUUAUGGUCUUGUGAUGUUUGACUAUUUGUUUGGGCCUUGGUCAAGGUUGAUUUGACUUUUGUUGGAUUAAAAUCAUUGGAUUUAGGGGAUUGAUGAAAUAUACAUUUCAUCUCCCAAAAAGGUCUUGUGAUGUUUGACUAUUUGUUUGGGCCUUGGUCAAGGUUGAUUUGACUUUUGUUGGAUUAAAAUCAUUGGAUUUAGGGGAUUGAUGAAAUAUACAUUUCAUCUCCCAAAAUGAAUGAAUGAUUUUAAUUUGGUAAAAUUUCUCCCAUGACCAAUUUGUGUUUCUCUCAUAUACCCUCCCUUUCAUAUUCAUCCAUAUAUUCUCCCACUCCCUUCAUUGACCAAUGAAAUCUCAAAUAUCCUAAGGCUAAUUGGUUCAUCAAUGACCUUGUGUCAGAUGAACCAAUACAAGUAUGGAUGACAUAGGUCCAUCCCUCUUGAUCUUUUUCUUUUAGUGUGUCGUAUGUUUUAGGAGUUUGGUUCAUCAUACCAAAUCUCUAACAUGCAUUAACACCUAAAUUUUUAUUGCUCGGCCUCAAAUAGUUGUGACUUAUACAUAAGUCCAAUUACGAUUGCUUAACAUAGAGCUAAAUUUGACCCUAAAGGCAUAUCAUUCUAGUAAGUGAGAUUGUAAGUCUCCCAUCCUUCAUGGUAUUGUGUGGAAACUUGGCCUUUUUCCCUUCCUAUAGAAGAUGUCUUUAUUCAAGGAUCCAUGCUUGUGAAUGGAUGGUUGUGUGUUCUCCAAAGAAUGACUUAAUCAAUUAAAAAGCAAAAACAUCACUAACAUUGAAUUAAUCUUGACUAACAUUUGACUAACAUUCAAGUCAUUUACUUUAUGCAAUUUAAUUUUUAGUCAUUUAUCAUUCAUUUCCAUUUACAUUUCAUUAAGCUUGUUUAUGUUUAUGCCAUUUUCACUUUGCUCAUUUGAGCCAUAUCUUAGGAUUGUAUAUAUUGCUUGUGCAUCUUAAUUUUGUUUGUGGUCUUAGGACCUUAAAACACUUAAUAAAAAAAAAAACCCUAAAAAAUAUUUGGUGGACUGUUGACCUUGAUCUGAGCUUUUAAAUUUAGAAUUAGGCAACAUUCCCUAUGUAAAAAGGACUUGGCCAAUGCCAGCAUUUGAGACCAAGCUGUGAGAACUGAGCCAAUCUGAUGCAAGUCUUGGGAUUUAUUUGAAUUCAUCUGCUACAUCGUCUUGGUGCAAGUUGUUAUUUUGAUCUUGUGUUUAAUGCUUUUUUCUGAGUUGAUCAAGGAGUAUUUCAUCUGAUACAUAAGAAGACAAAAAAGAACACUAGCUAUAGGAUUUUCUUGCUUGGAUGGAGCUAUCUUUAUUUGAUGCCUUGAUCUUCAUGAUGUGUGAUAUUGCUAAUUGCUCCUUGAUUUUUGCUUGAUUCAAAGUCCAAAGGGAAAGUGGGUUUUCUAUAUCACAUACUUGUCUGUGGGAUUGCAUCCCAUUGGUCAGAUCAUUUCAAUUCCUAAGUUUUAAUUUUAUGCUUAGGGUAGUCUCUUCAUCUUCUCCCACUUCUUAAAUUUUAAAAUCUCUUCCCCUUUUAAAUAAAACUUUCUUUGCUUGUAAUUUCCAACUUAGACCUUAUUUCAAAUAGAAACUUUGGCCUUAUGCCAAUGAAUUUUCAAACUCUUUUCUUAAAUCAAACUUGUAAAUAAAUCUAAUCAUAUUGACUUAAAAUUUCAAAAGACAAAAAUAACUAACAUGUCAUUCAAAUUUUUGUCCUUUUUGUCCCCUUUCCAUUUUAAAACUUUGUUAAAAGCAAUUCACUCAUUCUUCAAUUGUUACCACGAGCUACGAGGUUUUGAUGUGUUCCUCUUCUGUACAAGUGGUUUAUUUUGCACUUACCUCAGACGCCUGCUUUCUUGGAGAACAAGCAAUGUCUACGGUGGUCUCAGAGACUUAUGUCUCUCACUAGUGAUGAUAUUGUUUGGUAUGAUUAUGCAUUGGGUAGCAUGGAUAUUAUUGACAGUUGUGGUGAAUUCUCUAAUGUGCCCCUCAUUGGUACAUAAGGAGGAAUCAACUACAACCCUGUGUCGCAACCCGAAAAAUACGGAAGGUGCGAAAAGACAACCGGCGAAGAAAGAAAUGACAGAAGAGUCGCCACCGUGCGUUAUUUAUCCCAAAGGAGGGAAAGGAAACGCUCGAAGUAAACCUAGAGAAAGGAAAGGAAAAGACAAGGUCUCGCAACCAAAUCUUGGGUUCGGAAUCUUGGGUUCGGGAGUCGAUUAUGCGAAGGGAAGGUAUUAGCACCCCUACGCAUCCGUAGUACUCUACGGGAUCCACUCUUGUUUGUUUCUUGUCUAAAGGGUGCGUGUUUAUCUAAUGUACUAUUUACUAAAAGGGUCAAGAGAAAAAAUGACUCGCACGGAUGUCGCAUCCACUGCAUACGUAUCUCAUCUGGAAUGAGAAUCAGAGUCUUCGUAGCUCGGUUACCUAUGGGUUAAAGAGAUGUGUGUUCGCUAAGACAUCGCGUCUUAUGCCUACAUAUCUCAUCGGGAAUGAGAAUCAGAGCAUAAUGUAGUUCAAACUAACUACGGGAAUAAGGGUCUCGAUUGCAACUAGGGCAAGAGAAAAGGAAUGUCUCGAUCGCAACGAGGGCGAGAGAAAAGAAUCGCAACGAGGGCGAAAGAAAACAAGGAUUAGUUGUUAGUUGUUAGUCAAACUCGGCAAGACAUCGCAUCUUGUGCCUACGUAUCUCAUCUGAACAUGAGAAUCAGAGUUGCCGUAGUUCGGCUCACNNNNNNNNNNNNNNNNNNNNNNNNNNNNNNNNNNNNNNNNNNNNNNNNNNNNNNNNNNNNNNNNNNNNNNNNNNNNNNNNNNNNNNNNNNNNNNNNNNNNNNNNNNNNNNNNNNNNNNNNNNNNNNNNNNNNNNNNNNNNNNNNNNNNNNNNNNNNNNNNNNNNNNNNNNNNNNNNNNNNNNNNNNNNNNNNNNNNNNNNNNNNNNNNNNNNNNNNNNNNNNNNNNNNNNNNNNNNNNNNNNNNNNNNNNNNNNNNNNNNNNNNNNNNNNNNNNNNNNNNNNNNNNNNNNNNNNNNNNNNNNNNNNNNNNNNNNNNNNNNNNNNNNNNNNNNNNNNNNNNNNNNNNNNNNNNNNNNNNNNNNNNNNNNNNNNNNNNNNNNNNNNNNNNNNNNNNNNNNNNNNNNNNNNNNNNNNNNNNNNNNNNNNNNNNNNNNNNNNNNNNNNNNNNNNNNNNNNNNNNNNNNNNNNNNNNNNNNNNNNNNNNNNNNNNNNNNNNNNNNNNNNNNNNNNNNNNNNNNNNNNNNNNNNNNNNNNNNNNNNNNNNNNNNNNNNNNNNNNNNNNNNNNNNNNNNNNNNNNNNNNNNNNNNNNNNNNNNNNNNNNNNNNNNNNNNNNNNNNNNNNNNNNNNNNNNNNNNNNNNNNNNNNNNNNNNNNNNNNNNNUUAUACAUUUCAUGGGAGAGGGGUACAUUUGUUAUGAAUGGGGGUUGACAUGGUAAUCAAACAAUAUAAAUAUAUGCCUCAUACACCAUACAAGUAGGCAACAGUUAAUCAACAAUAAGAUAUUUAAGCAAGUAUAUAAUCGAAUCAAAUAAUCAAAGAAUGAAAUAAUGAAGCAUUAAACAAUGUAUGAGUGUAAGUGCAAGGGAACUGGCUCAUUGUAAGAAAGCCCAAGAGUAAGCUAUGUGAGGUUGAUGGCGAUGCUUAAAAAGCAAUCGACUUACAAGGGUGUAAAAAAUGGGCUCGAUAUUAAAUCGAGAAAAAAUAUGAUUUUUAUAGUUUGAGAAAAAUGGUUUUUUUGAACUAAAUUCAAAUACAAUAACUAUGCAUUAUUAACAAAUGAAAUUAUAAUAAACAUAAAAAACAGAUAUUAACAAAAUACUAAAGGAAUAAAAAUGCUAAAGGAAAAUACCAUCAAACAAAAAGCAACAAGUGUCACACAUGAGUAUUGAACCCUUCUCUCCUAAUAUUAUGCAACUGCCAUCUCUCCACUAGGACACUCAACAAUAUUUGCUACUGAGAUACUACCAUAAAUAUAUGAACUGGGCUAACAGAUUUAAAAUAAAUUAAAAAAAAACAUUUUUAUGGGUUUUUUAUUAUUUCUGUUAAAAAAUAAAAUAAGCUAAAUAAAUAAAAAGUAAAUAAUAAUAAUAAAAGAAAAUAAAAACAUAUAUUUUUCUGAUUUUGUGUUAAAAAUGAAAUAAACUAAAUAAUAAAAGAAAUAAUUAAAAAUUAAAAAAAGAAAAGAAAAAAAGAAAAAAAAAGGAAAUGGAAACAGCAAGCUCGUCUCCAUCGUCUUCCUCCCUCGCUCUCCCUCAAACUCUCUCAGGCGAACCUCUCCUUUCUCAGCUUAUUCCCCCCAAACCCUACUCACAGUAACCGAACCUAAGUACUACGAAGAAGACAAAGUGCAAACGACAAAAACACAACCCUAAACCCAGUCCAAACUAGAAUCAUCAAUGUGAAAGAAACACCAAUCGCGCAGAGAUACAUCAGGCUUGGAAAGUAGUAAACAUGCAUCUGAGUACGGAACAACAAAAANNNN
rnacentral:lncRNA from 1 species